rnacentral:rRNA from 1 species
GAUGAACGCUGGCGGCGUGCCUAAUACAUGCAAGUCGAGCGAACGGACGAGAAGCUUGCUUCUCUGAUGUUAGCGGCGGACGGGUGAGUAACACGUGGAUAACCUACCUAUAAGACUGGGAUAACUUCGGGAAACCGGAGCUAAUACCGGAUAAUAUUUUGAACCGCAUGGUUGAAAAGUGAAAGACGGUCUUGCUGUCACUUAUAGAUGGAUCCGCGCUGCAUUAGCUAGUUGGUAAGGUAACGGCUUACCAAGGCAACGAUGCAUAGCCGACCUGAGAGGGUGAUCGGCCACACUGGAACUGGGACACGGACCAGACGCCUACGGGAGGCAGCAGUAGGGAAUCUUACGCAAUGGGCGAAAGCCUGACGGAGCAACGCCGCGUGAGUGAUGAAGGUCUUCGGAUCGUAAAACUCUGUUAUUAGGGAAGAACAUAUGUGUAAGUAACUGUGCACAUCUUGACGGUACCUAAUCAGAAAGCCACGGCUAACUACGUG